UGAGUAACGCGUAUCCAAACCUUCCCCCGGCAAGUAAGGGGAUAACCCCGUAGAAAAUGCGGGCCCUAAAUACCCCAAUGAUAUCUCUAGAAGACAUCUGAAAGAGAUUAAAGAUUUAUCGGUGAUGGAUGGGGAUGCGUCUGAUUAGCUUGUGGCGGGGCAACGGCCCACCAAGCCUACGAUCAGUAGGGGUUCUGAGAGGAAGGUCCCCCCACAUUGGAACUGAGACACGGUCCAAACUCCUACGGGAGGCAGCAGUGAGGAAUAUUGGUCAAUGGGCGUGAGCCUGAACCAGCCAAGUAGCGUGCGGGACGAAGGCCCUAUGGGUUGUAAACCGCUUUUUCAGGGGGAUAAAGUGAGUGACGUGUCAUUCAUUGCAGGUACCCUGCGAAUAAGGACCGGCUAAUUCCGUG
rnacentral:rRNA from 1 species